UGGAACUCACAUCUCAGCCGC
rnacentral:siRNA from 1 species